rnacentral:rRNA from 1 species
AUACGUAGGUGACAAGCGUUAUCCGGAUUUACUGGGCGUAAAGGGCGUGUAGGCGGUCUUGCAAGUCAGAAGUGAAAUUCCUGAGCUCAACUCGGGCGCUGCUUCUGAAACUGCAGGACUUGAGUGCUGGAGGGGAUAGCGGAAUUCCUAGUGGAGCGGUAAAAUGCGCAGAUAUUAGGAAGAACACCGGUGGCGAAGGCGGCUAGCUGGACAGUAACUGACGCUGAGGCGCGAAAGCGUGGGUAGCAAACAGGAUUAGGUCCCCUGGUAGUCCACGCCGUAAACGAUGAAUACUAGGUGUAGGGGGUAUCGACUCCCUCUGUGCCGCAGUUAACACAAUAAGUAUUCCGCCUGGGGAGUACGGCCGCAAGGUUGAAACUCAAAUGAAUUGGCGGGG